ACCAUGUUCGGCUCUACAGCCACCGCUGCCAAAGCCUGGGCAACACUCAAGAAUGCGAACAAAUCCCAGGUCGGCACUGCCUGAUCCAGACCCUGGGGUCCUCGUCCUCCUGCCCAGCAUGGGGUGCUGGCUGUGCUGAGGCUGCGGCCAGGACUACAGGGACGGAGUUGUGUGAUUAGUGAGACGCAGCCCUUGGCCCCAGCUUCCCAUGGGCAGGGAGCCAGCCGAGCCCCUCAGAGGCGUUCCCCAAGGCUCUGCAGAUGCGGCCCAGGAAGAUGCAGGAAAAGAAGGACAGCCCAGUGUCUGGGGCCCCUCCCAGGGCGAAGAACCGGCAUUCCUACCGCAGCCCAGCAGGGCUGGUCACUCGUCUUAGUGCCCAAGGCUCCAGGUUAAGAGGAGCCACGUGAGCCACGAUGGUCAUCACCAGAUGCUGGGUGCCGUGCUCGAAGCCAGGACCGGCUGAGGCUUUCGGGGGUUGCAUGUUUUGCAUGCAUCAGUGAAGGAGACAUUUGUGACCCACUACUGGGGCAGGUGGUUUCACUUUCCCACCAUUAUGUCCAGAAUUGGUAGGUUCUUGGUCUCACUAACCUCAAGAAUGAAGCCGUGG
rnacentral:lncRNA from 10 species